rnacentral:lncRNA from 1 species
GCUCCGUGGCAGUGUGGUUUUCACCCCUGGGGAGAUGCGGGGCCUCUGCGCUCUCUGUGCAGCUGCCUGCAGGGAGCGGCAGCAGCCACUGAGCACUCUCGGCCUGUGCGGAGGGCGCUUCCUCCUCUCCUUUCUGUCUCCCUACCCUGCCC